rnacentral:rRNA from 1 species
AACGAACGCUGGCGGCAUGCCUAACACAUGCAAGUCGAACGAGACCUUCGGGUCUAGUGGCGCACGGGUGCGUAACGCGUGGGAACCUGCCCUUAGGUUCGGAAUAACUCCCCGAAAGGGGUGCUAAUACCGGAUAAUGUCUUCGGACCAAAGAUUUAUCGCCUUUGGAUGGGCCCGCGUUGGAUUAGCUAGUUGGUAGGGUAAAAGCCUACCAAGGCGACGAUCCAUAGCUGGUCUGAGAGGAUGAUCAGCCACACUGGGACUGAGACACGGCCCAGACUCCGACGGGAGGCAGCAGUGGGGAAUAUUGGACAAUGGGCGAAAGCCUGAUCCAGCAGUGCCGCGUGAGUGAUGAAGGCCUUAGGGUUGUAAAGCUCUUUUACCCGGGAUGAUAAUGACAGUACCGGGAGAAUAAGCUCCGGCUAACUCCGUG